CCCUUAGAUGUUCUGGGCUGCACGCGCGCUACACUGACACGUGCAACGAGUGCACCUAUUCCGAGAGGGAUGGGUAAUCUUUUGCAAACGCGUCGUGAUGGGGAUAGAUUAUUGCAAUUAUUAAUCUUCAACGAGGAAUUCCUAGUAGGUGCAGUUCAUCAGACUGCGCUGAUUACGUCCCUGCCCAUUGUACACACCGCCCGUCGCUCCUACCGAUUGAGUGAUUCGGUGAAUAAUUCGGACUGCAGCAAUGUUUGGAUCCCGAACGUUGCAGCGGAAAGUUUAGUGAACCUCNUNACUUAGNGGAAGGAGAANUCGUANCA
rnacentral:rRNA from 1 species